rnacentral:rRNA from 1 species
AGAGUUUGAUCAUGGCUCAGGACGAACGCUGGCGGCGUGCUUAAUACAUGCAAGUCGAGCGAGGCCUUGGAAUUGGAGUCCUUCGGGAUGAAGAGUCCUUGGCCUAGCGGCGGACGGGUGAGUAACGCGUGGGCAACCUACCCCAAAGUCCGGGAUAACAGUGGGAAACCGCUGCUAAUACCGGAUGGCUUUACCUGAGGGCAUCCUUGGGUAAAGAAAGGUUACGCUUUGGGAUGGGCCCGCGUCCCAUUAGCUAGUUGGUGAGGUAACGGCUCACCAAGGCGACGAUGGGUAGCCGGCCUGAGAGGGUGAACGGCCACACUGGGACUGAGACACGGCCCAGACUCCUACGGGAGGCAGCAGUAGGGAAUAUUGCGCAAUGGGCGGAAGCCUGACGCAGCGACGCCGCGUGAGCGAAGAAGGCCUUCGGGUCGUAAAGCUCUGUCCUUGGGGAAGAAGGCGAAAGCUUGACGGUACCCAAGAAGAAAGCCCCGGCUAACUACGUGCCAGCAGCCGCGGUAAUACGUAGGGGGCGAGCGUUGUCCGGAAUUACUGGGCGUAAAGGGUGCGUAGGCGGCCUUUUAAGUCAGAUGUGAAAGGCUGCGGCUUAACCGCAGGACUGCAUUUGAAACUGGAAGGCUUGAGUGUCGGAGAGGGUAGUGGAAUUCCCAGUGUAGCGGUGAAAUGCGUAGAUAUUGGGAGGAACACCAGUGGCGAAGGCGACUACCUGGACGAUAACUGACGCUGAGGCACGAAAGCUAGGGGAGCAAACAGGAUUAGAUACCCUGGUAGUCCUAGCCGUAAACGAUGGGUACUAGGUGUAGGUGGUUUCGAUACCAUCUGUGCCGCAGUUAACGCAAUAAGUACCCCGCCUGGGGAGUACGGUCGCAAGACUGAAACUCAAAUGAAUUGACGG